GAUGAACGCUGGCGGCGUGCCUAAUACAUGCAAGUCGAGCGAACGGACGAGAAGCUUGCUUCUCUGAUGUUAGCGGCGGACGGGUGAGUAGCACGUGGAUAACCUACCUAUAAGACUGGGAUAACUUCGGGAAACCGGAGCUAAUACCGGAUGAUAUUUUGAACCGCAUGGUUCAAAAGUGAAAGACGGUCUUGCUGUCACUUAUAGAUGGAUCCGCGCUGCAUUAGCUAGUUGGUAAGGUAACGGCUUACCAAGGCAACGAUGCAUAGCCGACCUGAGAGGGUGAUCGGCCACACUGGAGCUGAGACACGGUCCAGACUCCUACGGGAGGCAGCAGUAGGGAAUGUUCCGCAAUGGGCGAGAGCCUGACGGAGCAACGCCGCGUGAGUGAUGAAGGUCUUCGGAUCGUAAAACUCUGUUAUUAGGGAAGAACAUAUGUGUAAGUAACUGUGCACAUCUUGACGGUACCUAAUCAGAAAGCCACGGCUAACUACGUG
rnacentral:rRNA from 1 species